rnacentral:rRNA from 1 species
UACGUAGGGUGCGAGCGUUAAUCGGAAUUACUGGGCGUAAAGCGUGCGCAGGCGGUUCGCCAAGUCAGGUGUGAAAUCCCCCGGGCUUAACCUGGGAAAUUGCGCUUGAAACUAGCGGGCUUGAGUGUGGCAGAGGGGGGGUGGGAAUUCCAACGUGUAGCAGUGAAAAUGCGUAGAGAUGUGGAGGAACACCGGUGGCGAAGGCGGCAUCCUGGACCGGCAUUGACGCUGAGGAGCGAAAGCCAGGGGAGCAAACGGG